rnacentral:rRNA from 1 species
UACGAAGGGGGCUAGCGUUGCUCGGAAUCACUGGGCGUAAAGGGCGCGUAGGCGGCCAUUCAAGUCAGAGGUGAAAGCCCAAGGCUCAACCUUGGAACUGCCUUUGAUACUGUUUGGCUUGAGACCGGUAGAGGUAAGUGGAACUGCGAGUGUAGAGGUGAAAUUCGUAGAUAUUCGCAAGAACACCAGUGGCGAAGGCGGCUCACUGGCCCAUUACUGACGCUGAGGCACGAAAGCGUGGGGAGCAAACAGG